rnacentral:tRNA from 1 species
GAGGGUAUAGCUCAGUGGUAGAGUGCAUGCCUAGCACUCUAGGUCCUAGGUUCAAUCCCUAGUACCUCCA